ACACUGCCUUCACUUCUGAGGGCUCCCUGGCCUGGGAGAGUUUGAGCAGAAGUGUAAGUUUGGGUCUACAGAGCUCUUGAUGUCCUGACCCUUCACUCCUGUAGGAUUUGGGCUAGCCCCUUCUGAAGGAACAGGGACCCCUUUAGUGGGCACAGGCUGUGGUCAUAUUUCUUUUCUCUUUUUCUUUUCUAAUGUUUUUGAGGUAGCCUAGGCUGACCUCUGAGGAUAGCCCAAGUGCUGACACUUCAGGUGUGUGACACCAUGCCUGGCUACUGUCACAUUUUGCCACAUGCCUUUUGCCUGUACUUACUGACUGGAGAGCUGUUUAUUCAUGCUUUGCCCAUGUCAAAACUGGAUAACUGAUUCUUUUCUUUCACCUACAAGUUAGGCCAGGAUGGGCAGGGAGGUUUGUAAAUGAUAGACACAGGCAAGGCGGGGCCAGAGGAGGCUGAGGUGAGAGUCCUUAGGAAAAAUCCAAGAGUCAGUCAGAUGGCAAAGAGCUGAAGAAAUACUGGACCAUUGGAGGGUUCCCAGUGGGAAAGUGCGAACUUCAGGAUGGGCCGUGUGGAGACCUCUGGGGCUGAGACAUGACUAACACAUUUCCAUGCUGAAGGAUGUGGCGGACUGGCAAGGGACUAGAAUAAGAGAUGACGU
ensembl:processed_transcript RIKEN cDNA 4930417O13 gene